GUUGUAGUUUACCCGCCGCGCUGCGCGCUCCCGCGGCGCCCUGGAGGUUCCUGCUGCUCUGUGCGUUAAGGCCUCUUGGGGGCGCGGAUUUCCCCCUUUUUGCCAGUCUGAGCUCAGGCUCAGUUUCUCAGCUACCCUCGUUUAGUCGCCAUCGGUGAUUACUAUUAAAGCAAGAUUCAGUCUCAAGAAAAAGCUGGACAUGGUGGUGGCUAACUCCUGUAAUCUCAGAACUUUGGGAGGCCAACGUGGGUGGAUCACUUGAGAUCAGGCGUUCGAGACCAGCCUGGUCAACAUGGAUCACUUAAAAGCUCCAGAUCAAAUAAUCAUGUUUCCAGCUGGAUGGAAAUUCAGAAAAUCAGGAGCCUCUUAGUGAAAGAUGGUGGCGUGUAUCCAGUCUAACCCCAAGAUGACCUUCCCACUAGAGGAAGAGGAAAUGAGUUCAAGUGGAACACGCUGACACCCAGCUCAGAUGCUCACAUACCCCAGAGUAGAAGCCUUCUCAAAUAGCUCGAUAUGUCCAUCUGGGCCAGCACCGAGGAUGAACACUGCUGGGAAUCCCCCAGUCACUGGGAUGCAUUGGAAAGUUCUAUACCCCAUUACAGCCCUCUCCACUCAUUCCCACACUCAAAUCCAGAUAGGCUCAGCUGGAUUGGAGAAGUUAAAAAAUAAAAUAUAAAAGCAAACACUUAUGUAGUGCUUAUGCUGUGGGCCAAAUACUGUUCUAAGCACUUAAGUAUAAUGAUGCAUUUCA